UACAGAGGGUGCAAGCGUUAAUCGGAAUUACUGGGCGUAAAGCGUGCGUAGUCGGUUAUUUAAGUCGGGUGUGAAAGCCCCGGGCUCAACCUGGGAAUUGCAUUCGAUACUGGAUAGCUAGAGUUCGGCAGAGGGAAGCGGAAUUUCCGGUGUAGCGGUGAAAUGCGUAGAUAUCGGAAGGAACACCGGUGGCGAAGGCGGCGUUCUGGACUGCAUCUGACACUGAAAGACGAAAGCCAGGGGAGCAAACGGG
rnacentral:rRNA from 1 species